UGAAACGGCUCUGUUAACUGUGCUGUCACGCACCCGAUUCAUUUUGAAGCGUCAGUAUCAUUUGAAACGUGCUGUAAGGUCUUGACUGAAUUGCCCGUUGUUUUAAAGUUGUGUGCUCAGAAAGCCAGGCCUUUCCAGGACACCAGAUACGCUGCUGUCAGAGGUUCCAUAAAACGGCGAUUCUCUGGAACCGAAGUGACAAGGAUCUUU